CGCAUCUUAGGCUAACGCUAGCAUCCAGUGCCGACAGGUGCCGACAGGUGCUGCUGAGAGAACAGAGGAGCAGCACAAUGUUCAGCAAACCGGCCAGAGACAGCAAAAGGCAAAAAAACAACCUUUGCACAGUUUUUUCCAACCAAACUGUGGAAUUUGCUGUUUACUCCAGUCUGUGCCGACCGAAGGACGACACAUCUCUGAGGUGACGACACGACGACUGGACAGGAAAUGAGUCAAAAUGCAGCUGAAUGCAGUCUCUCGUCCUCCAUCUUUACUUUAAUGCGGCCGGAAAAAUCCUGCAGGGAGCGGUUUUGGAAGCAGUCCCGUGGGCCCAGGGGUUUGGGGUACGAGACAGAGGCUCGGCGCUGGAAGAUCUUACUGGUGUUCCAAAUAUCUUCUUCCAAAUCUGCGUCGAUGGACACCCCCGAGGAGCUGCUGUUCCUCUUCUUUGGAGGUCUCAUUGCUGAGACAUACUGUGGAAGGUAACACUCGUUUAUGAGAAAUAUUAUACAAAUCACUUUAGUCUGCUGGUUUUAUGAUGUUCCUCACAUUAUGUCUGUCCAGUCUGGCCAGGACUCCCAGGUCUGUGGUGUCUGAGAUGCCUCCAUGCAGGACCAACACCUUCUGAUCAAUUACCGUUGCUAAUGGCAACCAGCUGAAAAUCUUCUGCAGCAGCUUCAGGAUCCGUUUGCCAUGAAUCUAAGGAGAAACAUAGGAAAGAAGCAGAAGUUUGACUCUACGUAGUUUCAGUUUGUAAUAUUUUUGUUUCUGAAACAUUUUUCCUCUGCAGCUUUUGUGACCUUUGACCUCCCUGAAUCGUCAGAUGUCCUGCAGUGAUUCAGUUUAAUGACCUGAAAUCUUCUCAGCUGACAGGAGAUAAUAUAUAUUAUAUUUAUGAAGUUUUUAUAAUAUUGUGUAACAGCAACUCAUCUUUGCUCUUUAGAUAAAAACAUACAUUCAUCUGGAUGCUCAUAGGAAUUAUGUUUGCAGCUUUUCCCAUAAAAAUGUACCUUGUACUUCGUCAGCACUUCCUUAGUGAAGCCAUACCUGAAAACAAGGAUGAGGACAUUUUGGGUUUUAUUUAAAUGAAACUUAUGGAAGAAACCGAGACUUCUUGUUUUACAGUGUUGAGAUUUUCCACCUCAGGUUGAUUAAAUGGUCCUCGUGGUUUCCUCUGUUCAGGUAGACGUCACACGGGUAAACGAGCAGGAAGGAAAACAGGAUGAGGAGGAUCUCGAUGGAGUCUUUGCCUCGGUCCACAAAGUCUCCAUUGAACACGUAGGGCUUCUCCAGAGACGGGACGCCGUUCUGAGGGGUAAACAAGGGACGGAAAGGUUAGAGGUCAAGCUGGACUCUAAAUGGAAGCACCAGGUGGAGAUGCGGUUGAUGUUUGGCAACAUGCGGAGCAGCUUCCAUGUCUCCAGGAGCAGCUGGAGAGCGUAACGCGAGUGCAGCUGCUACUGAGAGAGAGACGAGUUAACUGGAAGGUCACAAAUGACAGAAAACGCUGUUUAACGGGUUCAUUUACUUCUACACCAGUGUGUUCUGUGAUCGAAGCACCAAACUGGUUGAAAACUCAUCUCACUGCUGUCCACCUACUUUCUUGUUCC